CACUUCCAGGGAUGAAGGAGGAAAGACGUAGUCAUCUGCUUGCCCCAGCUCACAGCCGGACGCUGCGGCUUUUGGAAAAUAGCCACCAUGAAGCCGGUGGCCCUGGUCCCCCUCUCGAGGUAUCAUAAAGCCAUUCAUAACGGCAUAAACGCCUGACAACACUCCCUGAUGCCAGCCCGGGCAUCAAGUUGAAGCCCUUUCAAGCGAUCAUCGGCUCCCUGGGAAAUGCCUUUUCUCUGUUACCUGGCACAGCCGAACAUCAAGAAGAAACGUGGAAAACAUCACACUGACCCCCCAGAAAAAUGAAAGAAAAGUACGGAAGAGACCAAUUCCCACCCUUGCUAUAGACGGAAUAAGUAUGUGCGUUUGUGAACCUUAAGUGUUCAUCUAAAUAUGUUGCUUCAACGGAGAUCCGCUUGUGGAUACAGACACACGAAAAUACACGAGACCACGCUCUAUUUUAAGGAAUUGCUGAAGAGUGUUGAACACUCAAACCCACCGCACAGCACCCUCGCAGCUAAGAGCACAAUUGAAUGAAACCAGCGGAUUCAUUUAUUUUAACCUCCACUGGAGCUGUCCCAAAAAAG
rnacentral:lncRNA from 1 species